CUUUGCACUUUCUUUCCUUUGCUUCAACCCAUAAUAAACUCAUGCUUCUAAGUUAGAGGUACUGGUGCUAUAAAUAAAUCAUUGAGAACGUUGUAGACAACACAAAGGGAUUUCGAGGCACAUUUCUCUCCAACCCCCUCAUUCAAUCCAACAUCAAGAAAUCUUUGAGCUAUCUUACCAAAGCGGCUGUCAUGGAUGCUCGUCGAGAGGUUGCUGCGAGUGGAAGCCAACGAGUGCAGAAGGAAAAGGAUAUCGAUAAUACAAAGAAACAGGCAAUGAGCAGAAGGAUGAUGGCAGCGGAUGAGCAAGGCGACAUUAAUGAUAUGGCUGAUGCCUUCAUCAAGAAGUUCAGGAACCAGCUAAAGAUUCAAAGGGAAGAAUCAUUCAAAAGGUUUCAGGAAAUGAUUGCUCGUGGGGUUUAAAAUCUGAGUCUUGUAUGAACAAAAUAACUAGGAAUGUUUCAGAUAUUGAAAUUUUUGUUUAGGGGUUAUAGCCUUAAAGGUCAAUAAGAUGGGGCAAUGGAGAUCGAUUGAUUUGUUCUUUGCUGGUGUACAUUGAUAUUUCAUACUUGAGCAAAAUAAAGACAAGUGUAUGCAUUGAUAA